UACGGAGGGUGCAAGCGUUAAUCGGAAUUACUGGGCGUAAAGGGUGAGUAGGCGGCUGAGUAAGUCAAAUAUGAAAGCCCGAGGCUCAACUUCGGAAUUGUCCUUGAAACUGCUUAGCUUGAGGGUAGUUGAGGAGAGUGGAAUUCCCGGUGGAGCGGUGAAAUGCGUAGAUAUCGGGAGGAACACCUGAGGCGAAGGCGGCUCUCUAAGCUAUUCCUGACGCUGAAUCGCGAAAGCUUGGGGAUAAAACGGG
rnacentral:rRNA from 1 species